UCCUUGAAAAAAAAGUAACAGGAAACAUGGAAAUGUCGUGUCUUAAUAUUUAGCUUCUUCUUCCUUCAUCUGAUACUUUUAAUUUGCCUUUCCUCUGUCUUACGCAUUCAUUCUGCUGCUAUUCCCUAAGUAUUUAUGUGGUAGCAGAAUUUUCUCUGUAGUGUCCUCCACUGCAUUUUAGUGGUGUAUUUUCCCAUAAGUUUGACAGACAUCUCUUAACAUACCAACUACAUCAGGACAGCAGUUCUCAAAGUGAACAGCUAUCACUUCCAUAGACUGCUCAGCUGUCUAUCUUUCUAACUGCAUCUCCUUGAUGUAUCUGAAUGCAGGCAUUUAUCUCAAACUGCUGCUUUUCAGUCAUUUGUGUUGGCACAUCUAGAUACCAAAAUGAAGAAAAAUAUAGGGACAGAAAAUAAUGGCAUUUCUCAGUUAGUUACAUAGUUUGAUGUAUUUAAAGAGAACUAAAGGAAAACUAAGCUUUCAAUGAAGACAGUGAGCUGGGAAGUUGGUGACUUUUUUUAGUUACUAGCUAUUAAGAAAUUAAUUUUCCCCCGAUCCCAGAUGGUAAAAAUAAACCUCUAUUUCUCUUCCCAUUUUUAAGACAAGUUAUUUAGAAUUAUAAGCUCAGUUGGAAACUAUCUGUUGUGUAUAUGUACGGUGCCUAGAUGGGUUCUUGAUCUAGAUCAUUACUGCUAAAUGGAGCAAAUAUAUAUUGGUCACAAAUGAAGAAAAGACACAGGUUUUCUAAAGGAUAUACUUAAAAAAAGAAGUUGUCAGAGCAUUUUUUAACAUGCUAGUAUACUUCAUAUACACAGGUCACCUGAUAUGGACCUUCAGGCCUGUGUGUUCUUUUCUCCUCAGUGUGUAAGUAGGGAGUACUUUCUGCAAUGCUUGCAUUGUGGUAUUUACAUGAGCAUACUUCAGAGAGUAGAUGGAAGGGUUACCAGAUAGCCAUUUAAAUUGCUUCCCAUGUAUUUCAAGCAGUGAAUACUCUGCGAGUCAACUUCUCAUCUGAAUCCGGAUUAUGAUGUUUGGAAAUGGAUUUCUGAAAUAAAUAAAUAUGAUAAUGAUAAGGAUUUGCCCACCUGCUCUUUGUUAUCAUUUCUGCCCAGUAUUUAUACAUAAAUACAUACCAUAGACAUAUGCAUAAAACAAAUUACACUAAAAAAAAACCUUCUAGAUUGCAUCCCUGAUUUUUUUUUUACGGUGAAUAAUCAACCCAAAUUGCCAUAAAAACUGUGUGAGCAGCAAUAUUUACAUAUGCAGAUAAACAGAAGGAAUGCUUUCACCAUAACUUAGUGUUUCUAAUCCACUGUUUCCAUAGUCUUCCAUAACCUCCUGAAAUAUGUGUAGUCUGGGCCAAAGUCACUCUCAUCCUACAAUCAUCCUACAAUCCCCACUGUUCGAGGCCUUCGGCCUUGCAGCUGUUCAGGAGCAGGCACAAGGCACAGCGCAGUGUCACCAACGUGCACGUGCUGUAUGAUGAGGCUGACAAGGACCCAACACCAGCGAUCAGAGCUGGUAAUUGAGGCAUGGAAACAACAUCACACACAUAUGCGAUGUACCCACCUCUGUUCCAGUUGCCACGGGAAACCUAGCUUUGAAUUUCCUUGUGUCUCAGCGUAAAAAAAGCUGGGAGCAUGCAGCAUCAAUACAGAGGGCCUGGCUUUGCACCCCUUGGGCACAAACCUAAAUAAUACAGGUGUCGGAGUGAAAUCUUUAUGAGUGUUUACUCCUUUGGUGUUGUGCUUCGUUGCUGCUCUGUUUGAAGAGCCCUAAGUGACCCUUUAAGCUUCAAUGCAGCCAGACAAACUUUUAUCCCAGACAAUUACGAGGGAAAACACGGUAAUGUCACGCAAACGUGAUCCAGUGACUUAAUUAGAACCAAGUUAGCUGAGACAGAGAGGAGCUGUAAAUCUCUUGAGGCUGAUGGGGGAUGUUGAGGGAGGGUGAAGCCCUUGCAGCACUGCGAGAGCACGCAUGGGGGGGGAAGAAAGAGAAGAAAAAAAGAAAAAGAAAGAGAGAGAAGGAAGGAAAAAAACCCUUUCAGCCAGAACAGAAGAGCCGAAAGAGUUAACUCGCAGCCGCAGCUCUCGCAAGGCAGCCCUCGCCAGCGGCCUGGGAAGCAGCCCGGCGCCCUCUGGUGCAGGAGAGCAGCAGCAGUGGAAAUUUCCUCUGGGAAGCAGCUUUGUUUCGAAGUUCAGACGGAUUAAAACGACCCUAAAACGUGCCGGCGGGACGGGACCGACCUCGCUCUGCACCCGGACGGGGGAGCCCCGCCCGGAGCCUCACGUUGAGGUGUGACGUCAAGAAAGGAGCACGGAAAAGCGGGCGGUAAAUGCCGAGCUUAGAGGCUCCUUCAGAGCCGAGAGCUCCGCAGUUUCCCACGGCAGGAGAACCUGAACGGGCGCCGGGCAGAAGCCCCUUCUUCCCGCAUGACUCCAGUACUAAAUGGGACGAUGCACAAAAAGGCAGCCUUGGUUGCAGGCAGCAGUACGUUGCCACUGAAGAAAUCUGCACAGCUGUAGGAAAGACCCUUAUUUUAGCGCCAGGAGAGCAGGAGAACCGUGUGCCAUCAAGCUGAAGGUGCCGAUUUCGCACAUUUGUAGUGUAAACCGGAGCAGGAAAAAAAAAAAAAAAAAAAAAGCAAGUAAUUGUAGCUGAGAUUAGGAAGCAGCACACGCACAAACGCCUACCUACGAACUGCCGAAACGGGAGAGCAAACUGCAGGGUUAUCGUUUUAAGUACCAGCUCGGGAAAUGCAUUACGUUCAUCAUUAUUAAUAAUAAUAGUUAUAAUAAUAAUAAUAAUAAUAAAAGAAAAAGAAAAAGAAAGAAAAGGAUGAAAAGAGAGAAAAGGGAGGGGGAAAGGAAAAGGAAAAAUAAAAAAGCAGUGCUGUCAGUAGAGUGGAGUGCAUCGAAGUAGCUCCGCAGCUCCUCUCUCGCAGCCGUCUCCCGCCCCUUCCCAGCACCUCCAAAAGCGGCCGGUCGUGCAGCAGGCAGAAGCGCCGGGCGGUGGCGGCCCCGGGUCGCUGCGGUGCUGCCCGGGGGGCUUCAGGUCGCCCUGCUCGUACGCGUCCCGCCCGGCAUUCUCCCGCGGAGACAGCGGGCGGCGGGUUGCAAUCUCACCUAAGGAUAAAGUUGGCUGAAAGAGAGAAAGAAAGAGAGAAAGAGAGAAAAGAGAGAAAGAAAGAAAGAAAGAGAGAAAGAAAGAAAGAGAGAAAGAAAGAAAGAAAGAAAGAAAGAAAGAAAGAAAGAAAGAAAGAAAGAAAGAAAGAAAGAAAGAAAGAAAGAAAGAAAGAAAGAAAGAAAGAAAGAAAGAAAGAAAGAAAGGAAGGAAGGAAGGAAGGAAGGAAGGAAAGAAAGAGAAAAUGGAGUGUGUGUGAGUGUGUGCGUUAUUUCUAAAUAGGUGCUUUCACCUCUCUUCUGAUUACUUGAGAAACUUUGGAAAAUGAGCGGCAUAUCCCCGACGUCCGCUCUGCUUUUGCUCACCGGCUGAAAUGCUGAGACUUCUUCCAGAGACACAUUACGCAGGGAAAGAAAAACAGAAUACCACAUACGGACACGAUUUCUCUCAUACGAGCCAGCAGAAUGCUGCUAUCACCGCGCGGGCGGCACCGCACACCUGGCCCGCUGCACAGAGACACUGCUCUGCUAUUCCGGGGUCCCCAGCGGGCUGCCUAGAGAAUGGGAAUCGGAGAAAGGGGAUCGGUUACAUAAUGAAAUGAAAUGAAAUGAAAUGAAAUGAAAUGAAAUGAAAUGCAAAAAUAAAAUGAAAGUACCCACUCUUCAGCCAGCCAAAGCACACCGUCGCUGAGUACAUGUAGAAAGGGUCGCAUGCAGGCGGGCUUGUCCUAUUAAUGGGACACAGGAAGAGACAGAAGAGCGAACGCGUGUCCUGGAGAUAACGUGGGAUGUUAUUUGGGCAAUAGAUUAAGAGCUGGAGAUCAGCAGCAAAUGUGCUGGUACUUCGCGUUAGUGUUUCCUAAAGCAGCGUCCCCGCUUUGCUGAGCGCCCUUUCUUGAGGGAGGGAAGCGGAGUAUUGGGAGGCGGCUGAAAAAUGCGGGGAAAGAAAUAGAGAUGACAGCUCCCGCCGGGAAGCGAAUCAAAGUUAUAGACUGGAAACGUGCGGCUAUCACGGGCUGCUCUUCAGCGAGCGGUUGGAAAUCAUAAACAUAUAAAUACAGAACUAAUUACGAGACCACACCGGAGUUUAUCCAAAAAUGUCUGGGAAGUAACAGAGCCAGCUCUUGAGGGACACGGUUUAGCGAGAACCAUUGGUGAAGGGCGAAUGGUUGGACUGGAUGAUGCUGUGGGUCUUUUCCAACCUUAGCGAUUCUACGAUUCUGUGAUUCUAUGAAAGUGUCGCUGCCUCUCGGGGAAGCCCGUCGGUGCCGGAGGAUUGGCAGCCGAACGCCAAAUAGGGGGGAGAGGGAGAGGGAGGGGGAGCCGAUCUCCCCACGCUGCGAAGCGCAGCGCGACGCGUCCGUAACAAUCCCAAUCCGUUGCGAUUUGUGUCGUUCAGGGAUACGAAGUGUCGGUCGUCACCGCAGUUGUUGAAACCCGGCCAGCGGUACGCGAUCGGGGUGUGCGCAUUGCUCCAAGUAUGACCUCAAGAGUUGGAGAAGGAAGCACUGUAGGUAACAACACUGCGGUAGUCAUUCAUUUUCUUUAAACAGAAAUAAUUGAUUUCGAAUGAACUUUUCUCACAACAGAGAUUUCGCAAAAGAAGAACUCGGUAUUUUUACUUACAAGUACUUUAUAUAUAUAUACACACACAUAAUUCGGACUUUUCUUUCAUUCCUCGCUUUGUGCCCGUGCUUAUUACCAUCCAGUAGGAUUUCCAGAAGAAAAAAACACUGCACAAGAUGACGGGCGCAUAAAGUGACCAAACUCGUGCAGGCAUAUACGGGAACAGGACGCGGCCCUGGGGGAACGACUGCUGGGUGCUUCCACAAAGAGCCGCUUUCCUUUCCCUCUCUCCGCUCAGCCCUAAUCGCACAGAGCGGGGCGGUACCUCAGCCGCAGGGACGAGACCUGCACCCUCCCGACCUCUCCGCCAACCUCCGGGGCUGCGCUUCUCGCGGGGAGCUCGGCUACCGCCGUGGGCAGCGGGACGGUGGGUCCGCUCAUCCAGGGGAGGGGAAAGAGGCUCCAAGGGAAUUAGCACCCCGAAAUAUUCCGCUUUCACUCAUGCCGCAGAUAAAUUGUUUUAUCAACGACCCAUUAGCUGCGUUAAUGACCCGUGAUAUUUAAUCACCAGCGCGCCGUGAAAAUUAUUAUUUAUUUGAAACUCCAUUGCGACUUCCAGCCACCCUCUACUUACCGAGGGUAUAACGUGCACUGUUACAAGGAGAGCGGGAGGGCACUGGAACAGAGGCAGCCAACACAGCGCAGAGCAGCGCUACGCUGGGCUGCCAGCCCCGCUCCCGCACAGCGCUCCCCCACUGCUCGCGCGGUGCGAGACGCGGCCCGGCGGGAGGGCAGGCAGCCUUCCAGCAGGGGCCUAACCAGGGGCUUAGCAGCCUAACCUUAAAGACCGGCGUUAACCAACGAGAAGCUCUUUCCGACUUCGCUGCGUUUCUCAGCUCCCUGCCCCACGCUCCAGAGAUGACAUAAACAGAUGCGAACCCUGGAGGUGCGGGGCGUGAAAGUUAAAGCACAAGAGCAAAGCUACGCUGCCAGAAACGCAAGGCGACGGUAGGCGCUGUUUGCGCGGCGGUGGCCGCGCUUUGCGGCGCGCUGAGAGCGCCCGUUCGUUCCCCGCGAGCGGUGCAGAUGCGGUAUUGUAGUGAGCCCCGAUCACCGCGGCCGGGGCAUCUGCAGAGCAGUCCCUGAGAAGAGCCGCCGGCGGGACGAGAGCCCUUAUAGCGCCGUCCGACUGCCCCAAGUGCUUUUACUCCGGGUCCGGCCCUUUGCAACAGCUCGGAGUCGCGCUCCGAGGCGGGCACAAAUAAAACCUCGGUCCCCGACGGUUUAACCGCGAUGUGCCCGGAAUGAGGCCCCGAGCCCUCGGACGCGGCCAAGAGCUGAGGGGGUGGCAGCAGCGAUGAUCACGGCCCGGGCACGGCCUCUGCCCAUGGGCCAGGCCCCGCCUCGCUCCCUGAGCUGAGCCGGCAGCGUGCGUGGUUCGGGGAGUCACGGCACACCUAUGGGGAAAGCGCUGCUGUGAAGGCAAGAAAGCAAAGUAAAAAUAUAUAUAUUAAAAAAAAAGCAAAAGGGAAGCACGGGACGGGAGGUCACCGACACAGCGCUCCCUGCUCCAAAUCCCUGCGUGAAACGUUGCUCCGAUUCCCCCCACGCUGCUCCCCUCACGAGAGGUUGGAGCAUUCUGUACUCCUGCAGUGCUGCUGUCUGUUCUGCGUAAGGCAGCAACCGCAGCUCCUGAAACACUUGAGAGUUGAACAGGAGAACGCCAAAGACUGAGAUAUUCGGAGACCGAUGUUUAUUUUAUAUAAAUUGUAUCUUUAAAUGGAUCAGGGACAAAUAAGACCCGAGGUAACACAAAAUCCGUAAGACAAGCGGAUCUUCUAUCCAGGCAUUGCCGUUAUGCCUGGUUCACACAGCGCUCGGUAAUACGGAUUAACUACAACGAUCGAUAGGUGAAAUCUGAGCAGCGCUAUCGACUGCAGCGAUACAGUGUGACCCUACCAUUCCGACUGCGCCUCCGGGCUGUUUUCCCAUGGUGUGCUCCUCAGCCACCACCUCCACACACGACGGGCUGCCGUAGGCUGCCAGGAUUGAAACACAUCAUAUAACCCAGGGGAAAAAAAAAAGGUUUUAGUCCCAGUGCUGCCCUACCUAUUCAGGAUGGCCAAACACAUCUCCUCGACCAUGAAGAUCAGUGAAAACUGUGAUGUGGGAGCAACACGUGUGGUUUGAAACAGCGCAAUUUCAGCUGCCUUGCCUUUAAAACAUGCUUUUGUGGUGUACGUGCUCCUGAACGUGAUGCGUUGUAUUGCACAGAGCAGACAGCAGCCUUCCGCCUCCUUAUAUUCUGCUAAUUUCUUAGAACUCACGAAGUACCAAAUGGAAAGAGAGAAACAGGCAAAGACACUCCGUGCAAGAAGCAGGAAGAAGAAAAACCUCGCCGUUUUUAAACUGUUACGCCACAGGCCCCAGAUCUUUGGGUUAAACGAAGGAAAAUAAAAGAAAGCAGAGGGCACACUGACAUCACGCAGCACUGCAGCAUCACUCGGGGCUCUGGAAGGAGCCAGGUGGAGGCCGGGCCGGGCUGCUGGCGCUGCCUGCCGCUGCCUCGGGCCGCCUGACCCGGUACGGGCGGCCGCUGCCCUCCUUGCCGCGGCACGCACAUACAUAGAAGGGUGCUCUCCUGCCCGCCCUCCCUGCAGCAGGU
rnacentral:lncRNA from 1 species